rnacentral:rRNA from 1 species
GCUAAACGCGAAGAACCUUACCAGGGCUUGACAUCCUGCUAAUCUUUCCGAAAGGAGAGAGUGCCUUCGGGCCGCAGUGACAGGUGAUGCAUGGCCGUCGUCAGCUCGUGUCGUGAGAUGUUUGGUUAAGUCCAUCAACGAGCGCAACCCUUGUGGCUAGUUGAAUUUUUCUAGUCAGACUGCCCUGGCAACAGGGGAGGAAGGAGGGGAUGAUGUCAGGUCAGUAUUUCCCUUACGUCCUGGGCUACAAACACGCUACAAUGGCCGGUACAAAGGGCAGCCAAGUCGCGAGACGGAGCAAAUCCCAUCAAAGCCGGUCUCAGUUCGGAUUGCAGGCUGAAACUCGCCUGCAUGAAGUUGGAAUCGCUAGUAAUCGCAUAUCAGCCAUGAUGCGGUGAAUACGUUCCCGGGUCUUGUACACACCG